CAAAAUGUAAUUUAACUAAAAUUUCUCGCUUACACCGAGAGAAUAUCUAGUAAUAUAGAUCAUUUUGA
rnacentral:tRNA from 1 species